rnacentral:lncRNA from 1 species
AGGCAUCAGUAGUUUUUUUAUGUUUUGGAAGUAUGGGGAGUUUGAAACCGGCCCAGGUUAAAGAGAUUGCGCAUGGGCUAGAGGAAUCCGGGCACCGGUUCUUGUGGUCGCUACGAGAACCGGGUAAGAGUAAAUUAGACCUUCCAGGGAAUUAUACGAAUCCUGACGCGGUAUUGCCAGAUGGGUUUAUUGAUCGGACGGCAGGGAUUGGAUUGGUAUGUGGUUGGGUGCCACAAGUGAUGGUAUUAGGCCACAAUGCAGUGGGAGGGUUUGUGUCACAUUGUGGUUGGAACUCAAUAUUGGAGAGCUUGUGGCACGGGGUGCCGAUUGCAACAUGGCCUCUAUAUGCAGAGCAACAGCUGAAUGCAUUUGAAAUGGUGAGUGAGUUGAAGCUAAGUAUAGAGAUAAGGCUGGACUAUAGAGGAGGUGAGAAUGAUUUAGUAUGUAAAGAAGAGGUGGCCAAAGGAGUGAGGAGAUUGAUGGUAUUAAGUAAUCCUGCUCAGGAGUUGAGAGAAAAAGUCAAGAGAAUGAGUCAGGUGAGCAAGAAUGCUGUGAUGGAGAAUGGUUCAUCAUUUGUUGCUUUGGCUCGAUUGGUUCACCAACUCUUGCCUGAUAUCUAGGACCAUGUGAUUGGUAUUUUGUUCCUGUCAUACUGUAUUAUGAGAAGCGUCUUGCAUGUUAUCCUCUCUUUUGGUACCUACCAGGAUUACGAGGAUUUUAGUUUUUGCAUGUCAUGUUUCACAUAUAAAGACUUGUUGCUUAUCCUUGAUUUUUGGUAUUGGAAAUGUACCUGAAGCUGGAAGUUAGUGGAACUUUAUGCUAAUUUCUGAAGUUAAAUUAUAUGCAUCUGAAGUAUAAUUAAACAAAUUGUAGACUUAUCAGAAAGUUUCUCCGUUAUACUUUACUGAUAACCUGAUAUCAUCUCCCAGGGAAAAUGUUGUAAAAGAUUACUGUGGUGACUGAUGCACCAUUGAGUGAUCAGAUAUUUUAAUCCAGAAUGUCUUUUGGUAGCUUUGAUAAUAAUACGUUUUAAAAAUAAAUUCACAAGAAGAGAAACAAUGCAGGUAAAUGCAAAGGAACAUUGAGUUUUUUUUUUAAACAAAAGGAACAUUGAGUUUGAAAUCAUAGUUUUGCAGGCUUUUUUAGGCCACCAAACCGUCGAGUAUCUGUAAUUAUCAUCUUGGAGUAGAUCUUAGCAGUCCCUUGUCAAAUGAGGCACUCUGAAACUACAGUAAUUGGUAUGAAGGCUCAAGAUGCAAAGCAGGUAGGGUGAAAGUUCUAGACGAGAAAGAAAUCAACUCUAAUACAAUUCCAACUAUUCAGUUCAGGGCGACAUGGGUUAUGGGUAAGACGUAUAAGAAUGAUAAUUCUUCACUUGAAUUUUAAAAUUUGAAUAGCAUAUAUAAAAUUUUAAUUCACAAAAUAAAAAUAUUUAAUAUUUCUUACCUGUCAUUAAAAAAAAUGACCCGAAACAAAAUGGAGUUGUGUGACCAGGACAUUAAAAUAAAUAAUACUCCUUCCAUUUAACAUCAAGAUUAAUAACAAUAUUCUCUCCACCCGAAAUUUUAAGUUCGCUGAUUUUGAAUUAUUUUUAUUUUUAUUUUAAAACAAAAAUUUAAGUAUGAAUAAAUUAAUAAAAUAGACAAUUAAUAUCAUUUAAAAUGUGUACGAAAAUCAAUUGUCUCGUGAAGGAGUAUUAUUGGACUUUGUGAUGCGUGUGCCUCUUGUAUUGAUUCAAACACUACUUUACCAUAAACCCUUUGUUUUCAUUUCCUUGAAUCAUAUUCUCCAGGGUUUCAAUGGAUUUCAAAAGAGGGGAUGUGGUGGAGAUCAUGGGCACCGAAGAAGGAUUUGAGGGCUCUUAUUUCGAGGCAAUUCUGAUUUCCAAGGUUUCCAACGAUCACUACAUUGUUCAGUACAAUACUCUGAUGAAUGAUGAUAAGUCUGGGCCCGCAAGGGCAUUUGUCUCCGGAAAAGACAUACAACCGGUGCCGGAGGAGAUCAUGCCGGAAAAAGGGUUCUUUUUGAAUGACAGGGUUGAUGUUUAUUACCGUGAGGGGUGGUGGGUUGGAAAAAUAACCGAGAAACUCGAGAACGAGUACCGGGUUUGGUUUGAGCAUACAGGGGAUGAGGGUGUGUACUCAACCACUCAGACUCAGAUGCGACUUCAUCGGGAUUGGAUUAACGGUAAAUGGGUUUGAUUUAUCCUUGAUUUCUAGAAUAUUAUGUGCUAAUUUUGUCGUUAUUAUCAUUCUUGGACUCUAUCAGACUCCCCGGAUGUUAUGUGUGUGAAGGAGGUUUAGUGUUGAAUGUGUGCUGUUACCAUAUUAAUCUUUGAUUUUGUUUCAAUCCAGAAUGUGCGCGUUAAGGUAGUGAUUAAGUAAAGUACUGGCAUGUAUUUUUCAUUUUUGCAAAACAUUGAAUUUGUAAAUUAAGAGAUCACGAGGGUAUCAGGUUAUCAAAACAUCAUCAGGCUAUCAGCUUAAUGACUGUCGCAACUGUUUCCAUGUCUACUUCAUCUUAAAACACUCCAUCAUAAAAUUAAGAGAUCUAUGUGAAGAGGUUGAAGAAAUCUGACCGAAUGUCAAAUGACAUGAGUGACCUGAUCAAAUGAAAUGAAAGAUAUCAUUGGCCGCUUAGAAAAUAAUUUUAGAAGGGUGUAUUCGAUUGAGAUUUUAAUGGAUUGUUUUUAGUCUAUGAAUUGUAUGUGUUUUGAUUUUGUGCGGAUUUUUGAUAAAAUGUCGCACAGUUGAUAGGAUUUAAGCACAAUGAUUCAAAAUCCUAUUGAUUUUGAUGGGAUUUCAAAAAAUUUAAAAUACACUGAAAAAUGCCACAAAAUCUAUCAUUUUAUGAAGUCCAAAAAAAUCCAUCAGCAUUUGAAUACCAUCAUAUUCUAAUGAAUUUUAAAUAAUCUCAAUUGAAUACCAUGAAUAUCAUCGGAUUUUGUAGCAUAAUUUAAAAUCCCAAUUGAAUACCUUAAGAUUUUAAUGGAUUUCAAACCCUCGGAUUUCACGAAUGAAAAAAAUGCUUUAAAAUCCCAAUCCAAUACACCCUGUUAAUGUCUGGUAUAGAAAUUGUUAAAUUCGAACUGCACCUUUGAGAUAAAAUCAAAAUUAUCAAAUAUCUGAACAAUUAAAUAUAAAUAACCUUUACAUUAUAAAAUCUUGAAUCUUGAAUAAAAUAAAUAUUUUAAUAAAAAUAAAAGUUUCGACUAAAAUUUAAUCAUAUACAAACAUUGUUUUGCAAUUGAAGGGUCUUUGGAAAGUUUUAAUACCCUUAAACUUUACCAGGACUAACUUAUUCAAAACUUGGCAAUUAGUUGAACUGCUUCAUUGUCCUUCUCCUAUCUUGACGACAACACUGAAGAUUGUAAUUACGUUAACUUGCUCUGUCAAGGGGUAAUUUAGAGAAGUAAAUUUCACCAUAAUUAAGCAGAAAUGGCCCUUUGAGUCUUUGACCGUAAACCAUGAUAUCUAUGAACUACGAAUUGUAACCACAGAGCCUGAUUUAUCACCAGUAAUCUAUCCGUAUCAUCAGGCCCCCUCCUUCCUUAUUGGACCCUAACAUAAAUCGCAACGUUUGAACUACUACUACAAAAGCUCACAUAUUAAGAAAACACAGAGCAGACCACAAUCUUAAUAAUACUUUAAAAUUAUUUGAUCAUGUCACACCAUUUAACCAACUUGAACAUAUUUUACACGAUUUGAUAACCAAACCCUCCAAAUACUUGGAGGACAGUAAAUAUAACAUAUAGAUUGUGUGAGCCGAGUCAACAUUUCCCAAGAACCAAAGCCAGAUCUAUUGUUUUUAUCUAGAGGAAGACCUUAGCAUAGAUCCGGGUCAUCUCCAAUGUCUGUAAACAUAUGUCUAAUGAUGAAACUAAACUGCAUGGAAUCCAUUACUUUCAACAAGUAAAGAAUUACUUGAGCAAAAUGUCAAGACUAUUGAUAUCCUUAAAGUAAAAAGUUGGUCAUUGCUUGCUUCCUUUUCGUCUGUCUAAGAUAGAAAUUACAGAAACAACAAUUCAUACAAGUCUUUAUAAACCAACGCAAUGUAACAUCAUAAGAGAGCCCAUUUGGGACACUCAAAAUGAUCUUUCAUUUCGUGUGACCCAAUAAUAUCAUACUGCAUCACCCUUCACAUCUUCAUGUCCUAUAUAUAAUAUAUCUGCACCCACAAGCAUAUAACAGAUAUCACCAUUCUUCAAGAAACCAUUUCUUUUGAUUUUAACCUCAGCCCUUUUCUUUACAUGUCCUCAAUUUCCUCUGUUAUACUAUACAGGUUCUAAAAUGAUGGGAAGGGCUCCGAUAUUACCGUCGAAGAUUAUUUGGCUGCUGAGUUAUGUCAUAACCAUUCAUGCAUUCCAUGAUAUUCCAUCACCGGCACAUCAUAUUUCGGCAGGACACUACCGCGAAAACACACGAAAAAUGCACCUAGACAAGGUCACAUUUUCUCAACAUGAUUCCACAUUUCGGCCACCCAGUCCUAUUAGACGACCAUCACUGACUACUCCUACAACAGCUCUAUUGAAAACCACUCCAUCAACCUCAGUAAGUACAGUACUAAGGUCACAAACGCGCACACACGCACACACAUGAAUAAGUCAGUAACACUUAUAAGUUGUGAUGAUAUAUAGGAUACAAGUGGCGUAGCAGGCGCGCGAGAGUAUCACGUGAUAACAUACGGGGCAGAUCCAACGGGGAAAAAUGAUAGUACAGAUGCAAUUCUUGGAGCAAUAGCAGAUGCAGUGCAAGGACCAGGCCACGGGGAGCUGAUGAAAGGAAUUUUGAAUUUAGGCGGUGUUAGGAUAAAUCUUGACGGCGGAAUUUACAAAAUUAGUCGCCCCUUGCGCCUACCCGUCGCUGGCCGGGGUAACCUAGUGGUAAAUUUACUCAAUUUUUACCUUUUCAGCAAUUCAUUUUUCCAAGUGUCAACAUUUGUGUGCAUGAUCAACUUCCUGGUCCUUGAUCCUCCUUGCCUCUGUUUUUGGCAAUGACUUCCACUAUCAAAGUUUCCUUGAUGAUGCAGAGCAAUGACUUCCACUAUCAAAUUUUGGCUGAUCAUGAAUUUGAAUUUAUAAGCAAAUUAAAAUUUAUAAAUAAUUAAAAUGUUUGAAAAAUAAAUAAAAAUAACGAAUAAAAAUAGCUCGACCUUAACCUUACUUUCAGAAUAUGUAUACAUGGCGUGGGUGCAAUGUAUUUGUCCAUACUGUCAACAUUGACUCCUAUGAUUCUUCUCGAUAAUGCACGGCAAUGACCUCCACUACCAAUUUUAUUCAAUAGAAUGCGCCGGCCUUAUUUUAUAAUCAAAAUCAAUAUUAAUAUUAAUAGGGUGUAUUGGAAUAAGAUUUUAAUGAAUUCUCUUUAAUUUGUGAUUUUGUACGAAUUAUUAAUAAAAUGUCACAUAAUUUAUAAGAUUUGACUGUUUCAAAAUCCAAUGAAUUUUGGUGAGAUUUCAAAAAACUUAAAAUACACUUAAUAAUGCCACAAAAUCCAUCAUUUUAUUAAAUUCAAAAAAAAUCCACCAGCAUUUGAAUACCAUCAAAUUUUAAUAAAUUUUAAACAAUUUUUUGAAUACCAUCAGAUUUUAAACAAUCUCAAUUGAAUACCACCAGAUUUUAUAGUAAUAAUUUAAAAUCGCAACAGAUUUUGUAGUAAUAAUUUAAAAUCGCAAUUGAAUACCUCAAAAUUUUAUAAUGGAAUUCAAACAAUCUCAAUCGAAUACCGAAUACCUUCGAAUUUCAUAUCCAAUACACAGGUUUACAGACAUUUUUCCCCCUCAUAAUUGUAUAUUUUAAGUAUCAUACCCGGAGUUAAUAAGAGGCCGGACUUAGAAAGAAAUUAUAUAUUUUUAAGUAAAUAGGGGAUAUCAGUAGAAUUUGAAGAAAAAACUACCACCACCCCAGAUCAUCUUCAAAUUACUUUAGAGAUUAUAAUAACUGGAUCUUAAUAUAUAUCUAAUUUAUGAAUUUUAAUAAAUUAUAUAUUUCUCUGAUUUUAUGUAUAUUCUAGAUAUAUACGAUAAAAUUGAUACAAAAUUUUAGAAUUUAAACAUAAUAUUUCAAUAUCUCAUAAAUUAUGCUGACGUUUUAAAAAACAUAAAAUACAGUAAAUAAUUUCACAAAAUUUAUUAUUUUACGAAUUUUUAAAAAAUCUUUAAAAUUUGGAUAUUAUGAAAUUUAAUAGAUUUUAACUAAUCUCAAUUGAAUAUAAUCAAAAUUUAAAAUACAAUUUAAUAUCUUAAUCAAAUACCAUCAUAUUUUAUAACAAAAUUUAAAUCUUGAUUAAAUAUUUAAAAUCUGAAUUAAAUGCAUCAGAAUUUCAUUAAUACAAAAAAAUCUUCCAAAAUCCUAAUUAAAUACCGUACAUUCUUGCCGGAUUCCACAGGCUGUAUAUAUAUAUCUGAUAUUCAGCCAUUGACGCACACCCAUAUUGACUGGCAGGCCUUCCAGCCACAAUGAAGAAAACUGCAAACAUCGUCUUCAUCGCCGCUCCGACCAUCGGAAACCUCGUCCCCGCAGUCGAGUUCGCAACUCAGUUAACCAACACAUACCCAUGUCUUAAAGCCACGGUACUAGUCAUCACCAUGUCUACUCGCCCACUCAUCGACACCUUCGUUGACUCACGCGCCAACGUCAACGCCGGAAAUGUCUCCUUCGUUUACCUCCCUCCCACAGAGCCGCCAUCUCCAGACCAAUAUAAUAGCUUCGUAGGCUUCAUGUCUCUGUCGAUCGAGAAACAGAAAACGCACGUGAAGAAUGCACUCGUGGAUCUCAUGCAGACUCGAUCCGAGCCAACGAACUCAGUUGUCCCCCUGGCCGGAUUAUUUGUUGACAUGUUUUGUACGUCGAUGAUCGAUGUAGCUAAUGAAGUCGGAGUGAAUUCUUAUGUGUAUUUUGCAUCUCCGGCUUCAUUUUUAGGCUUCAUGCUGCACCUUCCAGUAUUAACUAAAUUAAGUGCUGAGUUGGAUGACUCGGAUGCUGAGUUGAGGAUCCCGGGUUUUGUCAAGCCUGUUCCUGUAUCGGUGUUGCCUACUUUCUUUCUCACAAGAAAUAAGGAUGAUGGUUGCUCUUGGUUUGAGUAUAACGCAACCAAAUACAAAGAAGCGAAGGGUAUUAUAGUAAACACGUUCAAGGAAUUGGAGAAUCAUGCUCUGGAUUCUGUCUCUGCUGUGUUAGGUAUCAGCCCAUUACAAGGUAACAUGGACUUUGGUGAUCCAAAAUAUAUAAGGAUAAUAAUUGUAUGUUUAGACAAUUAUUAUAAGAUAUGUCUUGGUCACAAAGAUAGAAUACCUAGUUGGAAUUGGAUUCUGAUUUGAGUUGGAAAUCAAAAUUGGAUUAGGACUAUGUGUAGCUGUUUUAGAAUUAGAUUCUGAUUUGUCUAGUUUGAGAUGGCUAUAUAUACAUAGUCAUAUUGUGUUUGAUAGGUGUGCUCAAGAUGUAGACUUAGGUAUCGCUCGAGGGCGGAUACUUGAGUAGUAGGCUUGAGUAUAAUUUUGGUUGAUUGUAUUAUUGAUAACGGUUUUGAUUAAUAAUACAAGUUGGGACGUGGGUUUUCCACGUCAAAUAUAUUGUUGUGUGUUUGCUUUGCAUUAGAAGAUUGAUCUCGUAUUUUUAUCCCUAACAUGCUGUGUUUAGUGACUUGCCACCGGUUUACCCGGUCGGUCCGGUUGUUGAUCGUCGCGGACCGGCUGGAUGGAAAGUCAACGAGGAUCAUGAGGUAGUCAGAAAAUGGCUUGAUCAACAACCGGAAGCGUCGGUAGUUUUUCUAUGUUUUGGUAGUAUGGGGAGUUUGAAACCGGCCCAGGUCAAAGAGAUUGCGCAUGGGCUAGAGCAAUCCGGGCACCGGUUCUUGUGGUCACUGCGAGAACCGGCCAAGGGUAAAUUGGACCUUCCAGGGAAUUAUACGAAUCCUGACGCGGUAUUGCCAGAUGGGUUUAUUGAUCGGACGGCAGGGAUUGGAUUGGUAUGUGGUUGGGUGCCACAAGUGAUGGUAUUAGGCCACAAUGCAGUGGGAGGGUUUGUGUCACAUUGUG